AUAUAUAUAUAUAUAUAUAUAUAUAUAUAUAUAUAUAUAUAUAUAUAUAUAUUAUAGGCUACAGUAGUGGCACACUGACUCACCUAAUGAUGAAGAUGUAGCCAUAGGAUACUACUCAUGGUUAUGGCCGAUGCGCUCCUCUUGGCAACAGCUCAUCUUGAGCUACUUUGAAAAACAGUGCUGCUGUUGCUGGGAGUUGUUCUAUUGGUUCUACAGAUAGACUAGUCUUCUCUUUUCAGUGGUAUGUAUUUGCUUUCCAAACUUUACAUUUUUCCUGCAAUUGUCUUUUGAAAUUUGCACAAGUCAAACAGAUAGCUACAACCAACCAUAGAAAUAUAAUCCAUAUAAAUGUCCAUUAAAAUCAGGACUGGCAGCCAUUGCUAGUGUACCCAUCAGUUGAAUAGUCAAAUUGCCAGGGUAAGAGGUUCCAAAACUCUGUGGAUUAUAUGUCUAUGACCACAAACGCAACAAGCUGUAUAUCUGGCGCGCAUACUGGCCAAAUCGCGGCCUUCCCGACUGUAGGCAACCAGUAACUGCCAAAAUAAAGGAAACACUUGAGUAAAUGAGGGCUACAAAUAAUAUGUCAUACUGUGGGGCACAUUUUCCUGGCAUGGUUUAGGUCCACUUAUAGACUCUAAGCCAAGGAGCAUUGAAGCUGUUGUGGAAGCUCGUGGUGGCCAAACACCCUUUUAAGACACUACGCUGGUGUUUCCUUUAUUUUGGUUGUGAUCAAAUUUAAUCCAGUUGUUUUAAAAAAAAUAUUGAUCAUCUGUGGCUAAAUGAUGAUCUCUGGUGUAUUUUGAACAUUGAGAGCGGGCUCCUGUGGUUGUGGUUUUUUUAAGUUAUGUUAUUAUAUACAUUUAAAUGAUUGCCUCUUUGGCGCCCUAAUUGGCCAGUCACAUGUAUUUAUUAUGCAGUUACCAAUCAAGGCAGGGCCCCCCAGUUACCCCAUGUGCUCCCCUACCUCUUCUCCUCCCCCCAUCUGACGAUUAGCAGAGCAGCAUCAGGCUGUCUACUCUCAUUGAGAGCAGGCUCCUGAAUCGUCCUGUGUUUAAAAUUGUUUUAUUUUUUAUUUAACCUUUAUUUAACUGGUUGGCGGUUGCAGUAAAAAAUAUCUAUAUUUGACGUAUAUAACAGAUACUGUAUAUAUAAUAUAUGCAGUAUAUAAUUAUUUUAUUUUGCAUUUCUUUUUUUGCUGCCUUUUGGGCCCCCCAUGGCCCUGGGCCAAGGGGCUUCAAACCCGGUAAGCCCCUGCAUUAAUCUGGCCCUGGUAUGCAGCCUUGGUUAUGACCCCAGCAGAGCCACAGUUAGGGCUGUGCUAUGACCAGAGCAGAACCACAGUUAGGAUGGUGUUAUUACCACAGCAGAACCACAGUUAGGGCUGUGUUAUGACCACAGCAGAACCACAGUUAGGGCUGUGCUAUGACCAGAGCAGAACCACAGUUAGGGUGGUGUUAUGACCAGAGCAGAACCACAGUUAGGGCUGUGUUAUGACCACAGCAGAACCAGUUAGGGUGGUGUUAUGACCACAGCAGAACCAGUUAGGGUGGUGUUAUGACCACAGCAGAACCAGUUAGGGUGGUGUUAUGACCACAGCAGAACCACAGUUAGGGUGGUGUUAUGACCACAGCAGAACCACAGUUAGGGUGGUGUUAUGACCACAGCAGAACCACAGUUAGGGCUGUGCUAUGACCAGGGUUGUCUUUGUGGGCGACCAAACAGCUGAGCUCAUCAGGGCUGAUUCAGACACUACAGGAAGUCAAUCCCACUGACUUCCUCGACUUCCUCUAAGCCUCAUGCAUUUCCUCUCCCAUUUCCUUGCACCUGUGUGUGUGUGUGUGUGUGUGUGUGUGUGUGUGUGUGUGUGUGUGUGUGUGUGUGUGUGUGUGUGUGUGUGUGUGUGUGUGUGUGUGUGAGAGAGAGAGAGAGAGAGAGAGUAUUACCUGAUUUCAUCUGGUGCUAAUAUUAGAGUAAUAGACAUUCAUUUUUGUACAAUUGUGUAUAAAAUAUAAUUUCUAAUGUGCCUGAAAUAAAAAUAAAAAUAGCUGCUGGUUGGCAGAAAAAUACUUAGAAUGAUCUGUUUUAUAUGUUGUUUUUAUACUUUGUACUCAACUAUGUAUUGUGCUACAGGCAAGUAAGUAACAAGAUUCCUGACAAUGUGACAGUUAGGCCUAUGGUCCAUUUGUCUGUAUGAAAAUAAGAUGGAUACCUUUGCAAAUAAUGGUUGAAGUCCCUUGUGUGUUUGGUUCCAAUAUGAAUAAAUAAACAGGUAUUACAGUCGUGGUAUUUUUACAAAAAAGUCAGGAAGUUCAUCAAUCUUAUUUUUAUUUUUUUUAAAUAAAAUGUAAAUUGUAUUUAUAUUUUACCGUUAUUUUACCAGGUAAGUUGACUGAGAACACGUUCUCAUUUACAGCAACGACCUGGGGAACAGUUACAAGGGAGAGGAGGGGGAUGAAUGUGCCAAUUGGAAGCUGGGGAUGAUUAGGUG
rnacentral:lncRNA from 1 species